UUCUCAUCUUCCCUUUCUCCCAGGGGGAUGUGCCAUGGAUGAGCCUCUGUUCAAAUCCAUCCUUGCAGCCUUGGCUCGUUCUAGAGGUGAUCCAGACGUCUUUGCACUGAAUCAUGGAGCCUUUGGACAGACAGUGCCGCAUAAUCAUAAAGCAGGAGUUGAUCCCUGUGAGGUUUGGUGCAGUCAGCCUGUGGAAAAAUUAAAGGAAUAUUGCAACGUGAGCAAAAUCAGGUUGUUUUGGUCUGUGCUCUUCACCAGGCGAAGCAUUUCCUUUCUAGAUGAAUUUCGUUCAAUGGUCCUGGGUUGGAACAUGGAGGCAAUCCAUGAGUGUGAUAUUUUGGAAGACCUUGCUGAUUUAAUAAAAAAAGUUGUUAACAUCCCACAUUUUAUCAAUGGCAUCCUGAGGAUCGCCACUAGACUAGAAAAUGGUUUCUUCCACAUUGAAGAUGCUGUGGAGUGGGUCAGGUGUGUGGGGGAUUCCAACAUCCUGCAGAGACUGGAGCAGCUCGAGGACGGUGGCCGGGUCAAACUUCAAAUUCUUUUUGUUGAGUGGAAACGUUGCAUCACCAAAGUGGCGCUGGAAAAUUGUGAUUUAGUGGCAGAAUUGAAAGCUGUGACCUGUGAGAGCUCCAGGAAGGAAAGUGAAUCCAUGAAGCAGAAAGGAAAUGCUGAAUUUUCCCAAGGAGCCCUGGGCUCUGCCAUCGUGUCAUACACCAAAGCCAUGGAGUUUUGCCCUACAAACCACCUCCUGUAUGGGAACCGAGCCCUGUGCUUCAUUCUCACCGGGCAGUACGAGAAAGCUGUAAUUGAUGGAAAAAGAGCCAUAGUUCUCAAGCCUGAUUGGCCAAAGGGUCACUACCACUACUGCAAAGCCCUGGCCCUGCUGGGAGAGGCUGAGCACGCACUGGAGGCCAACAGGAAAGCGCAGGAGCUCUGCCAGAAAGACCCCCAGGGGCUCAAGGAGCUCCUCCAGCAGAAUGAAACACUCAAGAAGAGCCUGCAGGAAAUCCAUGGUACUAAGCAUAAACAGAAGGCGAAGGAGGCUCUGCUUGAGGCGAAAGUCUCUUCUUCAAAAUCUCCUUCAAGAACCUCCCAGAAACAGAAAGGAGGAGAGAAAGAGAGGAAGAAAACCCAGGCUGAGCCCAAACAUUCCCAGGGGCCUCAAAAACACAAUGCCAAGGUGACUGAGCCCCAGGAAGCAGAAGGCAAAGUUUCCACGCUGGAGCAGCCUCCAAACCAAAGUCAGCAAAACAAACGAAGGCAAAAAACCAAAACUUGUGACUAUGAAAAGAUGAGGGAUCAUGUGGAUUUGAAGAGGGAGUCUAAAGCCAUGGAGGAUAAAAGUUUCUGUACUGGGCCACAGGUGGAUUUCAGUCCAGAUGUGAAAUCCCUUGGGCUGGAGGGUGCUGGAACCUUGCUGGACAGGGAUAAACCCGUUCUAUUACCCCUGCUGAGAGCCUUGAAUACUCCAGAAUUUGUGGUGGAUUUCAACUCUCUGCCAGAGGAUGUGAAGUCCCUGGCUCAGGAUGGCUGCAGAGCCCUGCUGGAGCAGCAGUGCCACAGAGCUGAACGAGCCUUUUCCCAACUCCUCAGCAUCCUCUACACCUCAGGAUUUUCGUCUGUGAAUAUUCUUAAUAUUAAUUAUGUUAUACUCCUCUAUGGACAUGCCACUGCCCUCCUGGGAUUGGGACAUCCUGAGGCAUUGGCAAAGGCUGAAGAUCAGUUUAAGAAAAUAAUUGAGGAAUAUCCAGAAGAAAGUUGUUUUUGUUUGGCACACUAUGGAAUUGGAAAGGUUUACCUCAGGCAAAACAGGUUUGCUCAUGCCCUCGACCAGUUCCUUAGGUCAAAGCUGAUGAUUGAUUUCAAGAUUGUUCCUGAGGUUUUAACCUGGCCAGGAACAACCCAGGUCAUCGAGGAGUCACGAAUAGAGAAUUUACAGGUGGCUUUAAGGAAUUGUAUUGAGGAAUGUAAAUUCCCUCCAGAGCCAGAUGCUGUUUGUCGAUAUCAGCAGUGCCAUGGCUACUCCAAAAUCCAAAUAUAUUUUACAGACCCAGAUUUUAAGGGUUUUAUACGUAUUAUUUGCUGUCAGCAGUGCAGGGUGGAGUUCCACAUCAGCUGCUGGAAAAAGCUGAAAACAACAAACUACAGUGAUAAAAAUGAUAAGGAUUUCCUUAAGGAAAUGUGUUUUACUCCUGAUUGUAAAGGCCUUAUUUCAAAAAUAGCUAUUUUCAGUUCUACUGGGUUGGUAAAAUGUGAAUUUGAACAAAAAAUCCCAAAACCCAAGGAACCACCAAGGGCCUGUAUAAAACAGAAAUGUUCAAGUCUUAGGAAGAUAAAAAUGAAGCAAGAAAAAAAACUGCAACGAAAACGAGCGCGAGAAGAGGCCUGGAAUUCUGCCAGGAAAAAAGCUGAGGAAAAGCAGGAUGGAAAUGAAGAAUCCCAGUACAGUCAGCACAGAGGUUAUGGCCAGGAAUUGUACGCAGGGGACCAGGUCCUGCAGCACAUCCGGCGGAAUUCCGAGCAGAUCAAAGCCGCCGUCCCUGACGCUGCCAAAUUAUUAAAGGAAUUAUUGGUGUGGGGAGUGAUCAGAGAGGAGGAUUUCACCUCUUACUCCCAAAUCAGUGGCACUUCCCAGGAGGUGCUGGAGCAGCUGCUCAGCUCCAUAAUCCAGCAGAAAUGCCGGGUGCAGAGCAGGGGCUUCCUGCACGUGCUGAGCCAGCUGGGAGAGGUGGAUCCCAAAGUGCACAAGUGGCUGCAGCACCUGGAUAACCUGGGUCUGACAGCUACAAAAAACUUUCUCCUUCAAUAUGGGCAAGUUCUGCAAGAGCUUGACUUUUCUAUUUUAAUCCCACUGUGGAACCAGAAAUAUGGCAGUAAAUUUGAUUAUGUGGCAGCUGAUGGUGAAAAGCAAGAAAUUUGUGAUUAUUUCCUCGCCCCUCCCCUAGAGAAAUCCCGUUGUUUUAUAUGGCUUUUAGAAGAAAACAGAGAACAUUUUCCACACCUCCAUCAAGCUCUAGAUGAAUUCUUUGAUAAAAUGGAUGACCCAACUAUUAUAUUAAAGAAGCAGGGAAAUGAAAAUUUAUCAAAUAAUGAAAUCAAAGUUAAAAACAAAAACAGGAAGAAGAAUUGGAAAGAUUCAAAGUCUAUUUUAGUAUUAUCCAGUGGAGUUAGUACAGCACCACGUGAAGAAGAGAAGAUAUUUAUAGAAGAAAAUAAUUUGUACAGAGAUUUUUCAAAUGAACCCUUUGUAAUCCCAGAAUAUCUCCAGGAGCAACUGGAGGAAUUCGAAGCUCUUUAUAAUGUUUCAAAUAGUAACAAUUAUCACAUGAAUAAUAAUAAUAAUCCAGAUCCAAUCUGUGAAAAUUUAUAUGAUUAUUUUUCUCAAAUUUUGGAAGAACAUGGCCCUCUGGAAAUUAAUAAUAAAUUACUGAUUGGGGAAUAUGAAAAUUUCCCUGAGGAAACUCGGAAGGUGGUGGAAGAUGAAGGUGGCCUGGAGCCCUUCCUGCUGAAAUCCCUUCGUUUCAUUAUGGUGGAUGAUCUGAUUGGAUUAAGGAAGCACUCAGUCCUUUUUGAAGGAAAUCCAAGCAGAAACAAGACUGGGAAUAAAGAGGAAAAUGAUAAAUCUGAGGAAUCCCAAGAGAACUCUUCCCACAGCAAGGUGCCAUUGAAUCCCUAUGCCCAGGAAUUCAAGCCUCUGUCGUACCCUUUGAAACCCUCUUUAUCAGCAACUCCUAAAUUAACAGAUUAUGAGACUCCACAAUAUUUACCCUGCUCCUUCCCUGCUUCCCUCACACCUGGGAAUCCUCUGGAAAACAAGGAUGUUAAUUCCAUGGAAAACAAGGAGCUUCUUCCGGGUGUUUUAUUGAAGAGCUUCGGGCCUGCGGGCCCGGCUGUGUUUUUGCCUCAGAGCUCGUGGGGUUAUCAAUAUGGAAUAUUGCCCCUGCCUGCUGCCCUGGCACAGCCUGCCUUGGUUUAUGCUGAUCCUGGAGCUCAUUUGGAUCACUGGGAAUCAGCAAUUCCAUGUGGAAAAUACAGCCCUGAGGGUUCCCUGCCAGCUGAAGUCCAGGAGUGCAAGAAAGGCCUUAAGGGCCGGUUGGAGACCUCGGGUGGGGAGGAUUCUGCUUUUCCAAAUGGUUCAGAUGAAGCUGAAGGUGGUAAAUGUGUUAAAAAGGAAGAAGAAAGGAGAAAUAAACCUGAGAUGAAGAGCAAUCCUCACACAAGGAUGGUGGCUGUUCAGGUAAAUCAAGAAGUUGCUGAUAGGGAAACCAAUACUUUGCCUUUCCAUCCAUUUGAAAAUCAACAAGGCGAUAUUCUCCGCAUGGAAAAGGAGCACCAGGUAUUGAAAGAACAACUCAGAGAAGCAGAGGAGAAAUUUGAGCAGUUACAAAGCAGGAGAUUGGAGGAAAUCAGUGCUUUGGAAGAGCUCUUGAAAAAAAGUAUUGAAGAGACCAAGGUGUCCCAGAAUGAGCUGGAUUGGUUCCACCAAGUCUCGGAAACACAAAUGAAGAAAUGGCAGCAGGAGAAGAAAGAAAAUCGAGAGAGUUUAAAAGCAUUGAAGGGCACAGCUAAAAAACACUCAGACACCAAUGAGAGGUAUUUGAAGACCAUUGAUGACAAGGAAAAGCAGUAUAAUGAGUGUUUAAAUACAUUUCUGGAGACCAGUAAUAAAUUUGCUAAUGAGAAAGGCAAAUUGGAAGAGCUGAUAGAAAAGAGUCAAAAUGACAGCCAGGAGUGUGAGAAAAGAGCUGUUAAAGCAGAGAUCUCAGUACUCCAGACCUGGAAGGAAACUGAAAUCUGGAAACUCAAAGGCAGCAUUGCCAAGGCAGAGGGAAAUCUGAGGAUGCUGAAGGCACUGAGCAGCAGCUCAGCUUCAGCAGCUCCUGUGUUGAAGUCCCAUAUCGAUUCCUGGGAAAUAUUUCUUUCAAAUGUCAAGAAACAACUGGAAAAAGUCGAGGCUGAGUAUGAAGAAAAAAUCGAGCUGGUGAAGAAUGGUGCCCGGGACUGCCUGAGUAAAGUGGAAGUUGUGGAUUUUCCUUGUCCUCAGGGAUUUGAUACAAUACCAGGCAGACCUCUCACGUGUGACCCUGCCAUCAUCACCUGCUCCUCGGCAUCUGCACAUCCCAGUGCCCUUCCUGGAUUUUCCAGUUCUGAUGGAAAAGCUCCAGCCCAGCCUCCACUCCCAGCCCAGCCCGGAGCUAAGCCAGCACCUGCCACCUCUGAGGCUUCUUCUGCAGCUGGGAAAACACAUCCCAAAGCUCCAGAGGCUCCACAUUCCAAUAAACCCUCCCCAUCCUGCCCACCAGGGGUUUCUGGGAGUAACACCCAGCAUGUCCAGCCCAACCAAGAUCCCUCAGCUCUGCAACCGAGGCCUUCUGGAAUUCCAAACAACAAAAAGCCUCCAGAAGGAAUUGAAAAUAUUCUUUCCCAGCUCCAGAGUAUAUUCCCAAACUACAGCAGCUCAGACCUCAUUGCCUUCAUCAGGGACGUGCAGAGGAGGAAUGGGAACACCAUGGCCGGCCUGAGCCCGGAUGAAAUCCUCAACCGGGUCACGUCGCUCAUCCUGGACCAGCAGCUCAAGGCACCAGCUCCAGCAGGCAGAGCCAUGCACUCCCUGGGCCCGGCAGCGCGGAGCCAGGAUGUGCCUGCAGAAGGAAUCGGCCCCUGGGCAGUGCCCACCCCUAAAAACUCCUCCAGUAAAAACCCCUCUCAGCCAAACCUGCAGCCCUGGAGAAAUGCUGGAGCUGCACCUAAAGCCAAAUGGAAAAAGAAGGACGAUGCUGCCUCUGGUGAGGAUCCCUGCGCCAUCUGUCACGACGAGCUGAGCAGAGACUGCUGUGAGCUCGAGUGUGGCCAUCACUUCCACAGAAAGGUGAGCUCUGCUCUUCUUCCUCAUCUCCACCUCCUAAAAACAACCCCUCUGCCCUCCCCUUACCCUUCAGUGCUUGAACAACAGGCCACAAUUUCCUUUUCCCCAAGCCUGACCCACAGCCAGCCUGUCAGAAAGCUUUAGGUAUUUUUAAAGUUGAUUCAUCAAAGUGGAUUUCAGAUGAUUCUUCAGAGCAUGAAUUUGGUUGGGAUUGCUGGCAGCACACUCAGGGAAGGGGUUAUCCCUCUAAACUCUGCAUUUGCCUCCUGAUUGUGGAAAUUCAUGAAGCAAAAAAGCCAGGAUUAUUUUGGAAUAACUCCACAUUUCUGUCUGUGACUUUUCCCCUUGACCUUUUCUGUUUUAAUGCUGAUUUAUUCUCGUAGAAUAAAUUUGAGUACAGCAGGAGAACAGUUCUCCACCCCCAAAUUUCAGUGGUGUACAACUUACUGAAGAGCUUCCCCUUUAGUGCCAGUAAUUUCCAGCCUCCAGCUGGAUUCCUCUUCCCAAAUUUUGCCUCUCACCCUCUCCCUGCAGUGCAUCCAAAGGUGGCUCAAGCAGCAUUCCAGCACCUGCCCCAUCUGCCGUGUCCACGCUCUGCUUCCCGAGGACUUCCCUGAGCUUCCUGCAUGGAACAAGAAUGGUCACCACUAGCAGGAGAGGCAGAAUUCCAACAGCUCAGGGAAUUGUUCUCCUACUGUUUUCUGAGUCUGAAGUGGCCAGAGCACCUUCAACAUUGACAAAUUUGUCCCAAAAAAGCCAAAAGGUGAGAACCAGAGCCUGGGAAUCACAGAGUGUAACUCCAUUGUCUGAAUCCAGGGAGCAUCCCAUGGAUUAGGAGCUCUUGGCUAAUUCCAAGGAUCACUUGUUCCCCACACUGCUACAUCUCCUCCAGAUCAAGUUUUAAACUCCUCUCUCAUUAUUCAGUGUUAUUAAUUACCAGUUGAAUAAAAAAAUAAAAUUGCUGCUACAGCC